UACGUAGGGUGCAAGCGUUAAUCGGAAUUACUGGGCGUAAAGCGUGCGCAGGCGGUUAUGUAAGACAGGUGUGAAAUCCCAGGGCUUAACCUUGGAACUGCAUUUGUGACUGCAUAGCUAGAGUACGGUAGAGGGGGAUGGAAUUCCGCGUGUAGCAGUGAAAUGCGUAGAUAUGCGGAGGAACACCGAUGGCGAAGGCAAUCCCCUGGACCUGUACUGACGCUCAUGCACGAAAGCGUGGGGGAGCAAACAGGA
rnacentral:rRNA from 1 species